AUAUCGUCUGGGAUGUAAAGUUUUGGGGAUGGGGUGACAAGUCCAAGGUCGUUUUUCAUAGUUCCAACUAGUGUUUUGAAGGAAAUAUUAAGAUUUAUUCUUUCCUGGUAGAUUCACGGAUACCUUCACAUAUAGAAAAGAAAAAUAUUUGUAUACCUUCAUACGACACUUUUAUUAACGUGACGAUAGUGAGCCUGACUGAUGCCUUCCAGAUAAGCUUAUUGCAGACUGUUGCCGAAACAGGAUUGCCCCCGUUGGAGAUGUUUCAGCACAGAGGAGCUUAAACGUGGGAAUGUUGUAUUGGACAGCUUGCAAUGCUUGAAGAUCUUUUUGGUAUCUGAAACAUUAAUUUCUGUUCCUUGAACUGAAUGUCAUGUCAGAGUGUAAAGUUGAUUACAACAAAAUUCAAUGAUAAAUGAUUCUUUUUUUUGUCUCAACUUUUAUAAUUCCAUCAAUUGGAGGUAAACAAAAAACAUAUGCGGAUGUUA
rnacentral:lncRNA from 1 species